ACUUCCUGGCCUUGAUCUGUCACUCCCCACCCACGGCUCACAGUCCCAUCACCGCUGGGCCAAACAGUCAAGUGGGCAGUGUGCAAACUGCUUUAAAAUAUGACCACCUACACGCCCGCACAGAGUCUUUGAGCACUCAACAUUCAAACCCUGCCACAGAGGAGGAAGUAUGGGGAAGGAGUGUCUGUUGUGCGGAGGAGGUUUCUCAUUUGAUCCAUCUGCAACUACACCUGCCUACUGGACUCCACUUAGGUGACUGUCCAAGGCCUGCUUGGUUCCCCUAGAACAUGGGUCUCGCGGCUGUCAACAGCAGGGAGCCGACUAACCACUAAAGCACACCAGCUCAAACUAAAGACCCACAGAUGCAAAGGACUCACACAGUUUACUGUUGCUGCUAUACACCUUUGGAGACACAUUGAAGUUCCCACUAACCUGAGGUAAUUCAGACAGUUGAUUUCCAUCCAACCAGAGAUCCUUCAGAUGUAGGAGCGCCCCAAUUGAUUCUGGCUGAAACAAAAGGUAACAUUAUAGUAACAAGACCCCAGACCUCCAUCCUCCAUUAUGGAAGGAAGAAUCAUCCAUUGGGAGCAGGGUACUACAGCUGGGUUAGUAGUUACCUCUCUUAUAACAACACUGUCCCUGAAACUGCCCCAAACCUACAAUGCAAACCUGUCCCCAGCGCUCAGAUCUCUAGUCCUGACUCUCCCCAAACCACGAUUCUUAACCACUCCGGACUGAAGUGCAUUGCUUCAGUGUUUGAAGCUGAAGCGUUUCCAAGCUGUGCUUGAAGAAACGCAGCUCCAGUGACUCCUCAAAACCAUCUGUGAUCUUAAGGACAGAGAAGCAUCAAAUCUCUGGGAUACACACUUACCAAAUUAUAGAUUUCAUUGUUUCCUAAAUCAAGUUCUUCUAGUCUCCUUAGUUGGGUAAGAGAGCUGUGGAAACAAUCAACAAGGAAAACACUGAGAGACACUCAAGGCACGCAGAGAAGUAACACACUUCCCUUCCGGACUAGUUUCUGUAAGCAUGGUUCAUGUGUAUGGGGCAGGAAGGACUACCCUUCCGGUCACUGCACAAGAUCCCAUCUUAUUUUCCCCAGAGACUCACUCAGGAAGAUAUGUAAGAAGAUUCUCUCUCAGUUCCAGUGAGGCCAGGUUAUAGAGACUAGAAAUGCAAAGAGGAAACCGGUGUUAAGAAAACGCCUUGGAUAUUCCCACUCUCCCUCCACUGUCCACAUCUCCCCCACGCUGCUCUUAUUAAAACCUUUUCCGGUUACUCCUCAGGAUAAAAACAUUUACCACUA